rnacentral:rRNA from 1 species
CACGUAGGGGGCGAGCGUUGUCCGGAUUUACUGGGCGUAAAGGGCGCGUAGGCGGCCACUGCAAGUCAGUUGUGAAAUCUCCGGGCUUAACCCGGAAAGGUCAACUGAUACUGCAGGGCUAGAGUGCAGAAGGGGCAACUGGAAUUCUCGGUGUAGCGGUGAAAUGCGUAGAUAUCGAGAGGAACACCUGCGGCGAAGGCGGGUUGCUGGGCUGACACUGACGCUGAUGUGCGAAAGCUAGGGGAGCGAACGGG